AUAGGAGCGGCCGAUGUCUGAUUAGCUAGUUGGUGGGGUAAAGGCCUACCAAGGCGACGAUCAGUAGCUGGUCUGAGAGGACGAUCAGCCACACUGGGACUGAGANAGGGCCCAAACUCCUAC
rnacentral:rRNA from 1 species